rnacentral:rRNA from 1 species
CAGUAGCCGCGGUAAUACGUAGGGUGCAAGCGUUAAUCGGAAUUACUGGGCGUAAAGCGUGCGCAGGCGGUUAUAUAAGACAGAUGUGAAAUCCCCGGGCUCAACCUGGGAACUGCAUUUGUGACUGUAUAGCUAGAGUACGGCAGAGGGGGAUGGAAUUCCGCGUGUAGCAGUGAAAUGCGUAGAUAUGCGGAGGAACACCGAUGGCGAAGGCAAUCCCCUGGGCCUGUACUGACGCUCAUGCACGAAAUCGUGGGGAGCAAACAGGAUUAGAUACCCCCGUAGUCCCUGUCUCCUAUAA